GGGGGGGGCUCGCGGGACGAACCAUCGCUGGAGAAGGGAGGGGAAAGCGCCGUCGGAUGAACGGGCGGGGGGCAGGUCCAGACGGUGCCCGCCGGGGGGUGCAGAAGGAGUCUGCGGGGACCCACAGCACGGGGAGCAGAGCGGUGCCCCCCGCCGCGCCCCCGAGGCUGCUCGGGCCCUUAGGGCUGCUGCUGGUACUGGCCCUCGGUGGCGGUGAAGAAGUCCUCCAGCACGCUCUUCAUGUAGUCAAAGCUGCUGGGAAAUCCUGACCUGGAUACGGGAUCCGGCCGUAGGUGACGAUCUCGGUGAGCAGGAUGCCGAAGGACCAGACGUCCGACUUGAUGGUGAAUGUCCCGUAAUUAAUCGCCUCCGGCGCCGUCCACUUAAUGGGGAAUUUAGCCCCUGAAAAAAACAGCAGGAGGGGAAAAAAUAAAG